rnacentral:lncRNA from 1 species
CCCGCGCUCCUCCGGGCAGAGCGCGUGUGGCGGCCGAGCACAUGGGCCCGCGGGCCGGGCGGGCUCGGGGCGGCCGGGACGAGGAGGGGCGACGACGAGCUGCGAGCAAAGAUGUGCCCCGGGACCCCCGGCACCUUCCAGUGGAUUUCCUUGCGGAAAGGAUGUUGGCGGUCCCUGUGACCUGUGGAGACACGGCCAGAUCUGCCCUCCAGCCUGAUCUUUUGGCCAGAAGGAGAUUAAAAAGAUGCCCCUCAAGAUGGCUGUGCCUGUCAGCUGCAUGGAGCUUCGUUCAAGUAUUUUCUGAGCCUGAUGGAUUUACAGUGAUCUUCAGUGGUCUGGGGAAUAACGCUGGUGGAACCAUGCACUGGAAUGACACACGCCCGGCACAUUUCAGGAUACUAAAAGUGGUUUUAAGGGAGGCUGUGGCUGAAUGCCUCAUGGAUUCUUACAGCUUGGAUGUCCAUGGGGGACGAAGGACUGCAGCUGGCUGAGAGGGUUGAGAUCUCUGUUUACUUAGAUCUCUGCCAACUUCCUUUGGGUCUCCCUAUGGAAUGUAAGACCCCGACUCUUCCUGGUGAAGCAUCUGAUGCACGUUCCAUCCGGCGCUCAGCUGGGCUUGAGCUGACCAUACUCCCUGGAGCCUUCUCCCGAGGUGCGCGGGUGACCUUGGCACAUACAGCCAUCAUGAUGGUACUUUAAGUGGAGGCUGAAUCAUCUCCCCUUUGAGCUGCUUGGCACGUGGCUCCCUUGGUGUUCCCCUUUUACUGCCAGGACACUGAGAUUUGGAGAGAAUCCUGUUACACCUGGGAUUUAGGCACUUUCAAUCUGAAAAAAUACAUAUCCUUUCAGCACUCUGGACGGACUUGAGAACUGUCCUUACGUGACCUAAAGCUGGAGUAUUUUGAGAUUGGAGAAUUAAGGCCUUCAGUGGGUUGAAUGAGGCCCAACCCACAUUGAAGAGGACCAUCUGCUUUACUCAGUCUCCUGGUUGAAGUGAUAAUCUCAUCUGGACAUACUCAGAAAUGCUGUUUAACCAGCUCUCUGGAAAUCCUGUGGCCCAGUCAAGUUGACACACAAAAUUAACCAUCACACUGCAGAGACACAGUCUAUCCCAAUACCUGUAUUUACUGGAGUGUGGGCACCCUGGCUUCAAGCUCACGAGAAACCAGAAGGAAGUCACUGUGCAUAGCCAUCCCCUAAGAAGAGGGCAUUCCUGCUCUUCCUUCUCCAUGGCUAGAGGAUCUACAUGAACUAUUUAGAUUUUUUCUACCUGGGAGAUUUAACUCCUCUCUCCUAUUUAUUUAUUUAUAUAUCAGCAUGGACUUGCAGGCCAACAGAGAUUUUGAGAAACACAUUGAAGGAUCUGUUAACACUUGAUAUACCCAAUAAAAGCAGUGGUUGUGCCAGUGCUGAUCUGUCUUGAUGUGAAUGUGAACAAUGGGAACCUGAGCUGAGCAGUUAAUGCUAGGGUGACAGAAACUGGACCUCUCCCAAGACAUGUGACAGAGUAAUACAGCAGCCAACUUCUUCGCCAAAUUAAAGUUUUACAAGAUUUAACCUGUCAUCAAGACCUGGGAUUUUGGUGAGCCAGUCUUGGUGCUCUGUGUUCACCUGGUUCAUCUGAGGAGCUGCAUCUACCCUGCCCAUGCCAUAGAUCCUGCCCUGUUUGCUUCUCCUGUUGCUGCUAGUGGACAUGAGGUAACCACAGCCUAGUUCUGUGAUAAGCUCUUCACACCUGUACCCAUAUGGACUGUGGGAGAGUUUCUCUGAUAUGGACUGUGAUGCGGGACAGAAUAACGGGCUCCCAGAUUCACAAGCCCCACCAAGAGGAUCACCCCAGGAACGCUUGGAGGCUGAGGAGUUCACUGAGGCUACUGCAUCUUGAGACUCAGGAUGAAGACCCAGCUUGGGGCUGUCAAAGGUUUUUUGCAUGUCUGACACCCAUGACUCCACCUGGACCUUAUGGCUCCACCCAGAAGCAAUUCAGCCCAACAGGAGGACAGCUUCAACCCAUUACGAUUUCAUCUCUGCCCCAACCACUCAGCAGCAAGCACCUGUUACCUGUCCACCCCCACCCCUUCCCCCAAACUGCCUUUGAAAAAUCCCUAACCUAUGAGCUUUGAAUAAGAUGAGUACGAACUUCAUCGCCCACGUGGCGUGGCCGGCCUCGUGUCUAUUAAAUUCUUUUUCUACUACAA